CGAAAACUGCAAUAACCUUUGC
rnacentral:miRNA from 1 species